UAAAUACUCCCUCCGUCCCAAAAUAAGUGACUCAACAUUGCACUAACUUUAGUACAAAGUUAGUACAAAGUUGAGUCACUUAUUUUGGGACGGAGGGAGUAAUAU
rnacentral:pre_miRNA from 1 species